CGCCCUUGAGUUUGAUCAUGGCUCAGAUUGAACGCUGGCGGCAUGCUUUACACAUGCAAGUCGAACGGCAGCGCGGGGCAACCUGGCGGCGAGUGGCGAACGGGUGAGUAAUAUAUCGGAACGUACCCAAGAGUGGGGGAUAACGUAGCGAAAGUUACGCUAAUACCGCAUACGAUCUAAGGAUGAAAGCAGGGGACCGCAAGGCCUUGUGCUCCUGGAGCGGCCGAUAUCUGAUUAGCUAGUUGGUAGGGUAAAGGCCUACCAAGGCUACGAUCAGUAGCUGGUCUGAGAGGACGACCAGCCACACUGGAACUGAGGCAUGGUCCAGACUCCUACGGGAGGCAGCAGUGGGGAAUUUUGGACAAUGGGCGCAAGCCUGAUCCAGCAAUGCCGCGUGUUUUUUGAAGGCCUUCGGGUUGUAAAGCUCUUUUGUCAGGGAAGAAACGGUGCGGGCUAAUAUCCUGCGCUAAUGACGGUACCUGAAGAAUAAGCACCGGCUAACUACGUGCCAGCAGCCGCGGUAC
rnacentral:rRNA from 1 species